rnacentral:rRNA from 1 species
GACGAACGCUGGCGGCGUGCUUAACACAUGCAAGUCGAACGGAAAGGCCCUGCUCUUGUGGGGUGCUCGAGUGGCGAACGGGUGAGUAACACGUGAGUAACCUGCCCUUGACUUUGGGAUAACUUCAGGAAACUGGGGCUAAUACCGGAUAGGAGCUCCUGCUGCAUGGUGGGGGUUGGAAAGUUUCGGCGGUUGGGGAUGGACUCGGGGCUUAUCAGCUUGUUGGUGGGGUAGUGGCGUACCAAGGCUUUGACGGGUAGCCGGCCUGAGAGGGUGACCGGCCACAAUGGGACUGAGAUACGGCCCAGACUGCUACGGGAGGCAGCAGUGGGGAAUACUGUACAAUGGGCGGAAGCCUGAUGCAGCAACGCCGGGUGCGGGAUGACGGCCUGCGGGUUGUAAACCGCUUUCGCCUGUGACGAAGCGUGAGUGACGGUAAUGGGUAAAGAAGCACCGGCUAACUACGUG